GGCUUACAAUUGAUACCUAGGCACCCAGAGACGAGGAAAGGCGUAGUAAGCAAUGAAAUGCUACGGAGAGUUGAAAAUAAGCGUAGAUUUUGAGAUUCCCGAAUAUGACCUUUCAAAUUGCUGUUGAAUCCAUGGACAGACAAGAGACAACUUGGCAAACUGAAAUAUCUUAGCAGUCGGAGGAAAAGAAAGCAAAAGCGAUUUCUAUAGUAGCAACGAGCGAAACGGGAGCAGCCUAAACUGUGAAAAUGGGGUUGUGAGAGAGCAAUAAAAGCGUCGUACUGCUAGGCGAAGCGGUGAAAUGUUUAACCCUAGAUGGGGAUGGUCUAGUAGCUAAAAUCAUCACUAGCUUGCGCUCUAACUCGAGUAGCAUGAGGUAUGUUGGCUCCUAUGUGAAUCAGCAAGGACCACCUUACAAGGUAAAAUACUCUUGGGUAAUUGAUAGUGAAGUAGUAUCAUGAUGGAAGGGUAAAAAGAACCCCCGUCGGGGAGUAAAAUAGAACAUGAAACCGUAAGCU
rfam:Gossypium raimondii chromosome 5, whole genome shotgun sequence.